AGCUGGGAUAGCUCACUCGGUAGAACAUGUGACUCUUAAUCUCAGGGUCAUGGGUUCAAGCCCUGCUUUGGCCA